rnacentral:rRNA from 1 species
GACGAACGCUGGCGGCGUGCCUAAUACAUGCAAGUAGAACGCACAGUUUAUACCGUAGCUUGCUACACCAUAGACUGUGAGUUGCGAACGGGUGAGUAACGCGUAGGUAACCUGCCUGGUAGCGGGGGAUAACUAUUGGAAACGAUAGCUAAUACCGCAUAAUAUUAAUUAUUGCAUGAUAAUUAAUUGAAAGGUGCAAUUGCACCACUACCAGAUGGACCUGCGUUGUAUUAGCUAGUAGGUGAGGUAACGGCUCACCUAGGCGACGAUACAUAGCCGACCUGAGAGGGUGAUCGGCCACACUGGGACUGAGACACGGCCCAGACUCCUACGGGAGGCAGCAAGAGGGAAUCUUCGGCAAUGGACGAAAGUCUGACCGAGCAACGCCGCGUGAGGGAAGAAGGUUUUCGGAUCGUAAAGCUCUGUUGUAAGGGAAGAAAGGGUGUGAGAGUGGAAAGUUCACACUGUGACGGUAUCUUACCAGAAAGGGACGGCUAACUACGUG